rnacentral:tRNA from 1 species
AAGGGCUUAGCUUAAUGAAAGUGAUUGAUUUGCGUUCAGUAGAUGUAGAGUAAAUUCUGCAGUCCUUA